rnacentral:piRNA from 1 species
UGGGAAGCACUUGACUAGUAGCCUGGCA